UGUGACAUUGAGGAAGGAGCUGACGAGAAGGAGUCACACACUAACGACGUCUACGCCUACCGGAUCCAGUGGGCCCGUCUGAGCUGCGUCUACUGGAGCGAGACCCAGGAAGACUGGAGGACGGACGGAUGCACGAUAAACAAGCAGUCCACCAUUGCCAGCACCAUCUGUCACUGCAACCAUCUGACGGCCUUCGGAACUGACUUCGUCACACCGCCGAACAGACUCGACUUCAGGGCGUUGAAUUACAGCGGUUUAAGGGACAACGUUGCCAUAGUUUCAACGAUCAUUGUGGCACUCUGUCUGUACUCGUUCACAUUAGCCCUGAUAAAGAUUGCUGAGCGUGUAGGGAAAAGGAAGUUACAUCACGCUGUAAGGUUGGACGACCUUCAGAACGGCUACCGGUACCGCCUGAUCAUCUGGACAGGUGCAGCUAGGCAUGCUGGGACAGAGUCCACCGUUGCCUUCAAGCUCUUCGGCGAUGCAGCAAACUCCGAUG